UGGGCAACCUGCCCUCGACCCUGGGAUAACCCCGGGAAACCGGAGCUAAUGCCGGAUACUCUCCUCCGAUCACAUGGUCAGAAGAGGAAAGGUCCGCCGGUCGGGGAUGGGCCCGCGGCCUAUCAGCUUGUUGGUGGGGUAACGGCCUACCAAGACAUCGACGGAUAGCGGGUCUGAGAGGACGACCAGCCACACUGGGACUGAGACACGGCCCAGACUCCUACGGGAGGCA
rnacentral:rRNA from 1 species